rnacentral:lncRNA from 1 species
GUACCGGUACAGAGUCAGUGUGGAGGCUAUAUACAGGGUGUUACGGUACAGAGUCAAUGUGGAGGCUAUAUACAGGCGGUACCGGGACAGUCAGUGUGGAGGCUAUAUACAGGGGGUACCAGUACAGAGUCAGUGUGGAGGCUAUAUACAGGGGGUACCGGUACAGAGUCAAUGUGGAGGCUAUAUACAGGCGGUACCGGGACAGUCAGUGUGGAGGCUAUAUACAGGGGGUACCAGUACAGAGUCAGUGUGGAGGCUAUAUACAGGGGGUACCGGUACAGAGUCAAUGUGGAGGCUAUAUACAGGGGGUACUGGUACAGAGUCAAUGUGGAGGCUAUAUACAGGGGGUACUGGUACAGAGUCAAUGUGGAGGCUAUAUACAGGGUGUCAGGUACAGAGUCAGUGUGGAGGCUAUAUACAGG